AUCUGAGUCAGGUAAGAGUCCC
rnacentral:rRNA from 1 species